rnacentral:miRNA from 1 species
UUGUCAGACUUGUUACAAGGUUGUUCUAACAAGUCUGAUACAAUCAUGAUAUAACAAGAAUGUUACUAUAGGUUGACAACAAUACUGUUAUUUCAUGACUGUAUCAGACUUGUUGGAUCAACCUUGCAACAAAUGUGAUAA